CCUACGGGUGACAGCAGUGAGGAAUAUUGGUCAAUGGACGAGAGUCUGAACCAGCCAAGUAGCGUGAAGGAUGACUGCCCUGUGGGUUGUAAACUUCUUUUAUCAAGGAAUAAAACGAGGCACGUGUGCCUUUUUGCAUGUACUUUAUGAAUACGCAUCGGCUAACUCCGUGCCAGCAGCCGCGGUAAUCCGGAGGAUCCGAGCGUUAUCCGGAUUUAUUGGGGUUAAAGGGAGCGUAGAGGGGUUGUUAAGUCAGUUGUGAAAGUUUGCGGCUCAACCGUAAAAUUGCAAUUGAAACUGGCAGUAUUGAGUACAGGUGAGGUAGGCGGAAUGCGUGGUGUAGCGGUGAAAUGCUUAGAUAUCACGAAGAACCCCGAUUGCGAAGGCAGCAUACUAACCUGUCACUGACAUUGAUGCUCGAAAGUGUGGGUAUCAAACAGGAUUAGAUACCCUGGUAGUC
rnacentral:rRNA from 1 species